AUCAACAUGUCCGAGUGGUGAAGGACAAACUCGAAAUAUGUUGGGAUUUUCCUGUGUAGGUUCGAAUCCCGUUGUUGACG
rnacentral:tRNA from 1 species